AGAUGGUCGACUUUUGUGGAAUGGUCCUGUGAAAGUCCAUUUGGAUUAGCGGAACAUAUUGGCUUCUUUUCGAAGUAGAGAGAAGGCAUUUGAAGGUGUUAAAAGGAGGAUCUUGAUCAAAAACUACUGAUUCACAUUAGUUACACAACUCAAUGAAGGACAAUUCAAGAGAUAACCGGAAUUUGUCAUUUUAAGAACUUAGAAUAUUGGAUAUUGUUAUCAAACGACUGAGCAAUUCUAAAAAUCCCUGAGUUCAUGGCUGUUCUUAAUUUCUUGAAAUCUUUCAUGUAGGUGUCAAGUGCCA
rnacentral:misc_RNA from 1 species